AGUCCCUCCCCUAUCUUGCUUCUCUUUAGGAAAGGGAACUGGGACUUUUUAGUUGGUUUCCUUCUCGCUUUUGUGGAUCUUCUCCAGCGGGCGAAGGAGGGUCUGUCGCAACGUGAAAGCCACUCAGGUGUGUGUUUGUGGGUUAAAUAGCACCUGGAGGCCGCGGACUAAGCCAGUGGGCCAGUUUUUCAGAAUUACGGAACUGUUGUCCAGAUGCCUGUUCCCAAUACAGUUGGACCUUUGACUCCCUUUCUUGCUGGCAUGGGCAGUCUCCCUGGGUAUGAAGGCACAGGAAUUCAAGAUCAGGGCAAGUAUAUAAGUGAAGCAGUGGUUUUCAU